rnacentral:piRNA from 1 species
GUGGGGAUUCCGUGUUUAGCACAGUGCCUG